rnacentral:rRNA from 1 species
UACGUAGGGGGCUAGCGUUGUCCGGAAUCAUUGGGCGUAAAGCGCGUGUAGGCGGUCCGGUAAGUCCGCUGUGAAAGUCGGGGGCUCAACCCUCGAAUGCCGGUGGAUACUGUCGGGCUAGAGUGCGGAAGAGGCGAGUGGAAUUCCAGGUGUAGCGGUGAAAUGACGUAGAUAUCUGGAGGAACACCGGUGGCGAAGGCGGCAUCCUGGACCGAUACUGACGCUGAGGAGCGAAAGCGUGGGGAGCGAACAGG